GGCUGAGUAGAGCGGCGGACGGGUGAGUAACGCSUAGGAAUCYACCUGGUAGUGGGGGACAACUUGGGGAAACUCMAGCUAAUACCGCMUACSCCCCAAGGGGGAAAGCGGGGGACCUUCGGGCCUCGCGCUAUCGGAUGAGCCUGCGUAGGAUUAGCUAGUUGGUAGGGUAAAGGCCUACCAAGGCGACGAUCCUUAGCUGGUCUGAGAGGAUGAUCAGUCACACUGGAACUGAGACACGGUCCAGACUCCUACGGGAGGCAGCAGUGGGGAAUAUUGGACAAUGGGCGCAAGCCUGAUCCAGCCAUGCCGCGUGUGUGAAGAAGGCCUUCGGGUUGUAAAGCACUUUCACUUGGGAAGAAAAGUUCAUCGUUAAUAGCGGUGAGCCCUGACAUUACCUUGAGAAGAAGCACCGGCUAACUCCGUGCCAGCAGCCGCGGUAAUACGGAGGGUGCGAGCGUUAAUCGGAAUUACUGGGCGUAAAGCGCGCGUAGGCGGUUUGUUAAGUCAGCUGUGAAAGCCCCGGGCUCAACCUGGGAACUGCAGUUGAUACUGGCCGACUAGAGUACGAGAGAGGGAGGUAGAAUUCCAUGUGUAGCGGUGAAAUGCGUAGAUAUAUGGAGGAAUACCGGUGGCGAAGGCGGCCUCCUGGCUCGAUACUGACGCUGAGGUGCGAAAGCGUGGGGAUCAAACAGGAUUAGAUACCCUGGUAGUCCACGCCGUAAACGAUGUCUACUAGCCGUUGGGAGACUUGAUUUCUUAGUGGCGCAGCUAACGCAAUAAGUAGACCGCCUGGGGAGUACGGCCGCAAGGUUAAAACUCAAAUGAAUUGACGGGGGCCCGCACAAGCGGUGGAGCAUGUGGUUUAAUUCGAUGCAACGCGAAG
rnacentral:rRNA from 1 species